rnacentral:rRNA from 1 species
UACGUAGGGGCCGAGCGUUGUCCGGAGUUAUUGGGCGUAAAGCGCGCGCAGGCGGCUUGGCGCGCCCGACGUGAAAGCCCCCGGCUUAACCGGGGAGAGUCGUCGGGGACGGCCGGGCUUGAGGGCGGGAGAGGGUGGUGGAAUUCCCGGUGUAGUGGUGAAAUGCGUAGAGAUCGGGGGGAACACCUGUGGCGAAGGCGGCCACCUGGGCCGACCCUGACGCUGAGGCGCGAAGGCGUGGGGAGCGAACGGG